rnacentral:rRNA from 1 species
UACAGAGGGGGCAAGCGUUGUUCGGAAUUACUGGGCGUAAAGGGCGCGUAGGCGGCCUGCUAAGUCGAACGUGAAAUCCCUGGGCUCAACCCAGGAACUGCGUCCGAUACUGGUUGGCUUGAAUCCGGGAGAGGGAUGUGGAAUUCCAGGUGUAGCGGUGAAAUGCGUAGAUAUCGGGAAGAACACCCGUGGCGAAGGCGGCUCUCUGGGACGGUACUGACGCUGAGACGCGAAAGCGUGGGGAGCGAACAGG